GACGAACGCUGGCGGCGUGCCUAAUACAUGCAAGUCGAACGGUUUAGUUCCAAGAGGCUUGCCUUUUGGAACUAGACAGUGGCGGACGGGUGAGUAACACGUAGGCAACCUACCUGUCAAACCGGGAUAACCACGGGAAACCGAAGCUAAACCCGGAUAAGCUCCUUUUUCGCAUGAAGGGGGAGUGAAAAGGUGCGACCUGAUGACAGAUGGGCCUGCGGCGCAUUAGCUAGGAGGGAGGGUAACGGCCGACCUAGGCGAUGAUGCGUAGCCGACCUGGGAGGGCGUACGGCCACACUGGGACUGGGAUACGGCCCAGACUCCUACGGGAGGCAGCAGUAGGGCAUCUUCGGCAAUGGGCGAAAGCCUGACCGAGCGACGCCGCGUGAGUGAGGUAGGCCUUCGGGUUGUAUAACUCUGUUGUUUGGGAAGAAGGGAAAGGGUAGGACCCUUUGGUGACGGUACCAAACGAGAAAGCCCCGGCUAACUACGUG
rnacentral:rRNA from 1 species